AACUUUCAACAACGGAUCUCUUGGCUCUCGCAUCGAUGAAGAACGCAGCGAAAUGCGAUAAGUAAUGUGAAUUGCAGAAUUCAGUGAAUCAUCGAAUCUUUGAACGCAAAUUGCGCCCUUUGGUAUUCCGAAGAGCAUGCCUGUUUGAGUGUCAUA
rnacentral:rRNA from 1 species